rnacentral:rRNA from 1 species
AUUGAACGCUGGCGGCAGGCCUAACACAUGCAAGUCGAGCGAGCGGCGGACGGGAGAGAAAUGUCUGGGCAACUGCCCGAUGGAGGGGGAUAACUACUGGAAACGGUAGCUAAUACCGCAUACUACCAGAUGUGACCAGAUGGGAUUAGCUAGUAGGUGGGGUAAAGGCUCACCUAGGCGACGAUCCCUAGCUGGCGUGAGAGGAUGACCAGCCACACUGGAACGUAGACACGGCCCAGACUCCUACGGGAGGCAGAAGUGGGGAAUAUUGCACAAUGGGCGCAAGCCUGAUGCAGCCAUGCCGCGUGUGUGAAGAAGGCCUUCGGGUUGUAAAGCACUUUCAGCGGGAAGGCGUUACCCGCAGAAGAAGCACCGGCUAACUCCGUGCCAGCAGCCGCGGUAAUUC